rnacentral:rRNA from 1 species
CUAUGCGCCUUGCCAGCCCGCUCAGGUGUGCCAGCAGCCGCGGUAAUACGUAGGUGGCAAGCAUUGUCCGGAAUUACUGGGUGUAAAGGGAGCGUAGGCGGGAAUGCAAGUUGAAUGUUUAAACUAUGGGCUCAACCCAUAGUCGCGUUCAAAACUGCAUUUCUUGAGUGGAGUAGAGGCAGGCGGAAUUCCUAGUGUAGCGGUGAAAUGCGUAGAUAUCAGGAGGAACACCAGUGGCGAAGGCGGCCUGCUGGACGAUGACUGACGCUGAGGCUCGAAAGCGUGGGAGCAAACAGG